rnacentral:ncRNA from 1 species
UUCUUAUCGAGAGAGGUGGAGGGAACUGGUCCGAUGAAACUUCAGCAACCGAGGGCGAAUGCCUGUACGGUGCUACUUCCAGCAGGCGUAUUAUUUGAGAGAUAAGAA